rnacentral:rRNA from 1 species
UACGUAGGUGACAAGCGUUAUCCGGAUUUAUUGGGCGUAAAGCGCACGCAGGCGGCUCUUCAAGUCUGACGUGAAAUCUCUCGGCUUAACCGGGAGCGGUCGUUGGAAACUGAAGGGCUUGAGGCGAUGAGAGGGGUGUGGAAUUCCCGGUGUAGUGGUGGAAUGCGUAGAUAUUGGGAAGAACACCUGAGGCGAAGGCGGGUUGCUGGGCUGAUACUGACGCUGAGGCGCGAAAGCCAGGGGAGCAAACGGG